rnacentral:rRNA from 1 species
UACGUAGGUGGCAAGCGUUACUCGGAAUCACUAGGCGUAAAGCGCAGGUAGGAGGUUGGAUAAGUCUAUUGUGAAAGCUCCCGGCUUAACUGGGAGAGGCCAAUGGAAACUAUCCGGCUAGAGUGCGGUAGAGGUAGCUGGAAUUCCCGGUGUAGCGGUGAAAUGCGUAGAUAUCGGGAGGAAUACCUAUGGCGAAAGCAGGCUACUGGACCGUCACUGACUCUGAUCUGCGAAAGCUAGGGGAGCAAACAGG